rnacentral:rRNA from 1 species
CGCGUAGGCGGGUCGUUAAGUCAGGGGUGAAAUCCCGAGGCUCAACCUCGGAACUGCCUUUGAUACUGGCGACCUGGAGUCCGGGAGAGGUGAGUGGAACUCCUAGUGUAGAGGUGAAAUUCGUAGAUAUUAGGAAGAACACCAGUGGCGAAGGCGGCUCACUGGCCCGGUACUGACGCUGAUGCGCGAAAGCGUGGGGAGCAAACAGGAUUAGAUACCCUGGUAGUCCACGCCGUAAACGAUGAGUGCUAGCCGUCAGCAGGCUUGCCUGUUGGUGGCGCAGCUAACGCAUUAAGCACUCCGCCUGGGGAGUACGGUCGCAAGAUUAAA